UUGGCUAUUUCUGGCAAUUUCUUUAAGUAGCCCUUCGCAUUAAUCAGUACCCAAGAAGUAGCUCUUGGUUUCAAAAAGGAUGGUGACCCCUGCUGUAGACACAAGUCUGUCUGCAUGAAGCCCAAUAAGUCAAUGAUUGCAUAUUCUUCUCACGUGUGGCACGUUGAGACAAGAAUAUGUUGAUGAGCUGUAAGAGUAACGUGUCUUCCCUCACUCCUUAUUUUCACUUUUGUGCAUUUUAUAUAAAAAUCGCUAUCCCAAUUUUGGGGGGAGAAUGUCAACGAGGUGCAGCCCUACAGCAGAAUAAGGUACAGGAAGCAAAGAGAAGUGGUGCUGACUCACAGCGUCUUCAAAGUUCCAUCUCUUACGGACUUCCUCCUCGUUCUUGCGGUAGACCAGGUCCCUGCGACGCAACACCUCUUCUCGGAUUCUCUGCAUCAUUUCCUCCUGAGCAGAGGCGACACCAACACCAUCAUGCUGAUGACCUCAGCUCAACUUUGAAGCAGCGAGAAGACCCUCACAGUGUCCACGCCCUCGGGUGUGGCGGGCUCGUCCUCCCCGGGGGGCCGCUCGUCGUCCUUCUCCUUGGCCUUCUCCUCCACUCGCUGGCUCUUACGGCACAGGGCCCUCACCUCCUGGUACUCCUCCUGCGAGAGCACUUCCUUGGGGGGUUGGCUGCUCACGUGUGCUUUCAACCUGAGACAAGAUGCAUCAUGGGACUUGUGACAUCGCCACAGUCCUGGAAUAUCAACACUUUCUUCAUAGACUCACAUCUCUGCUCUGCGCUACCACAACUUGGACUACUGGAGCUAGCUAGCAUAACCCGGAAUAUCCGCCUUUACUGGCUGCUAUCUCGGCCUUCUUGACCAGCCUUUCCUCCCAGAAAUACAUUUCUCAGCCAAAAAGGUUCCCGACCCGUGCGCCAGAGUCUCUGAGGGAAGUCACGGCAGCUGCAGCAGGAUAGAAGCGCCGCUGAUGUCUCCGGUAAGAGCUGACUUAUUACCACAAUCUUCUCACCGAAAACUGCCGGUUGACAUGUCGUCGGGAUCCAUGUUCGCUUGACCGCUCUGAUCCAUAGUAAAGCUUCACCUCCGGGAAUUUUAAACAAGGAAACACCGGCUGUGUUUGUGUGGCUAAAAGCUAAAAGCUUCCCACCUCCAUCUUUCUACUUUGACUUCUCCAUUAUUAAUUGAACAAAUUGCAAAAGAUUCAGCAACACAGAUGUCCAGAAUUCUGUGUAAUUAUGCCAUUAUAGCAGACUACUUACAGCUUGGAUCGGGCUGGAAAAUAAUGUCCGCUACGACCCGAGACGUCAAACGCACGCGUUAUCAUUCCGCGAUGUUUUCAACACGACACUUCGCGGGAAAUUUGAAAUUGCAAUUUAGUAAACUAAAAAGGCCGUAUUGGCAUGUGUUGCAAUGUUAAUAUUUCAUCAUUGAUAUAUAAACUAUCAGAUUGCGUGGUCGGUAGUAGUGGCUUUCAGUAGGCCUUUAACAGCACAGAAUUACAUAACAUAAAUAAAAUUAAUAAGUUAUCAUGUCUACGUAAAAUAAAUAAUAUAGCUGUGCAAAUAAUACAAAAUGUAUCAAACUCAUAAAAAAAUGCAUUUGCAUUUCCAUGACCCGCCCUAUCUUGCCUCUGAUUGGCCUGUCCCUAACCAAUGUAAACAACCAACCAAUCAUGGAGGUUUUUAUACUCUUGGAAGGAGGAAGGAGAGGGGUUUAGUAGCCCGAACAAAUAAGCAGGGUUUGGUCAUUUUAACAUGAAAUAAAUUAUAUCGAUAUUACAAUAUUUCUUUAAUUCAUAUCUUGUUAAAAAACAUAUUGAUAUAUCUUACAAACUCCAUAUAUCGCCCAGCCCUAAGUCUGACUGAUUUCCAUUUUUUUUGGUCAAGUCUGUAUUUUAUUUCCUUCUAAAAACUCGAGCAAAAAAAUGCAGUGAAAAGUAAAGAAAAAAGACACCUGAUGGAUGUUUGGCACUCUCUGCAGUUGAGUAUACAAAACAGCCACCAUAGUGCAUGUUGUGCUUGUGCUGGCACACACCUGCGCAUAUGCUGAGGUGAGUCGGGCAGGCUCAUGUCCAGGAUUCCCAGCAGCAGGUUGAUGUAGUGGAUCCACAAGUCUACACUGAGAGGGAUGGCCUGCAGACCCUGGACACACACCUGGCGACACAAACCACCUCUUGAGAGUACGCCCGUGUGGUACAAGAAGCUGGCAUCUGUGUUGUACAAACCCCGUUUCCAUAUGAGUUGGGAAAUUGUGUUAGAUGUAAAUAUAAACAGAAUACAUAUUCAGUUGAAUAUGCUACAAAGACAACAUAUUUGAUGUUCAAACCGAUAAACAUUUUUUUUGUGUGCAAAUAAUCAACUUUAGAAUUUGAUGCCAGCAACACGUGAAAAAGAAGUUGGGAAAGGUGGCAAUAAAUAAUGAUAAAGUUGAGGAAUGCUCAUCAAACACUUAUUUGGAACAUCCCACAGGUGUGCAGGCUAAUUGGGAACAGGUGGGUGCCAUGAUUGGGUAUAAAAGCAGCUUCCAUGAAAUGCUAAGUAAUUCACAAACAAGGAUGGGGUGAGGGUCACCACUUUGUAAGCAAAUUGUCGAACAGUUUUAGAACAACAUUUCUCAACGAGCUAUUGCAAGGAAUUUCGGGAUUUUACCAUCAACGGUCCGUAAAAUCAUCAAAAGGUUCAGAGAAUCUGGAAAAAUCACUGCACGUAAGCGAUGAUAUUACGGACCGUUGAUCCCUCAGGUGGUACUGCAUCAAAAACCGACACCAGUGUGUAAAGGAUAUCACCACAUGGGCUCAGGAACACUUCAUAAAACCACUGUCAGUAACUACAGUUGGUCGCUACAUCUGUAAGUGCAAGUUAAAACUCUACGAUGCAAAGCAUAACCCAUUUAUCAACAACACCCAGAAACACCGCCAGCUUUGCUGGGCCUGAACUCAUUGAUGAUGGACUGAUGCAAAGUGGAAAAGUGUUCUGUGGUCUGACGAAUCCACAUUUCAAAUUAUAUUUGGGAACUAUGGAUGUGGUGUCCUCCGGAACAAAGAGAAAACUAAACACCCGGAUUGUUAUAGGUGCAAAGUUCGGAAGCCAGCAUAUGUGAUGGUAUGGGGGUGUAUUAGUGUCCAAUGCAUGGGUAACUUACACAUCUGUGCAGGCACCAUUAAUGCUGAAUGGUCCACACAGGCUUUGGAGCAACAUAUGUUGUCACCCAAGCAACGUUAUCAUGGACGCCCCUGUUUAUUUCAGCAAGACAAUGCCAAGCCACGUGUUACAACAGCGUGGCUUCGUAGUAAAAGAGUGCAAGUAGUUUUCUGGCCUGCCUGCAGUCCAGACCUGUCUGCCAUCGAAAACGUGUGGCGCAUUAUGAAGCGUAAAAUACGACAGCGGAGACCCCGGACUGUUGAAGGACUGAAGCUCUACAUAAAACAAGAAUGGAAAAGAAUUCCACUUUCAAAGCUUCAACAUUUAGUUUCCUCAGUUCCCAAACGUUUAUUGAGUGUUGUUAAAAGAAAAGGUGAUGUAACACAGUGGUGAACAUGCCCUUUCCAGACUACUUUGGCACUUUUUGCGGCCAUGAAAUUCAAAGUAAAUUAUUAUUUGCAAAAAGACAUAAAGUUUAUGAGUUUGAACAUCAAAUAUCUUGUCUUUGUAGUGCAUUCAACUGAAUUUGGGUUGAA